rnacentral:rRNA from 1 species
UACGGGGGGGAGCAAGCGUUGUUCGGAUUUACUGGGCGUAAAGGGCGCGUAGGCGGCCAGCACAAGUCAGUUGUGAAAUCUCCGAGCUUAACUCGGAAAGGUCAACUGAUACUGUGCGGCUAGAGUGCAGAAGGGGCAACUGGAAUUCUUGGUGUAGCGGUGAAAUGCGUAGAUAUCAAGAGGAACACCUGCGGCGAAGGCGGGUUGCUGGGCUGACACUGACGCUGAGGCGCGAAAGCCAGGGGGAGCGAACGGGG